rnacentral:rRNA from 1 species
UACGUAGGGUGCGAGCGUUGUCCGGAAUUAUUGGGCGUAAAGAGCUUGUAGGCGGUUUGUCGCGUCUGCCGUGAAAAUCCGGGGCUCAACCCCGGACUUGCGGUGGGUACGGGCAGACUAGAGUGUGGUAGGGGAGACUGGAAUUCCUGGUGUAGCGGUGAAAUGCGUAGAGAUGCGGAGGAACACCGAUGGCGAAGGCAGCCCCCUGGGCUAACACUGACGCUGAGGCACGAAAGCGUGGGGAGCAAACAGG